GACGAACGCUGGCGGCGUGCUUAACACAUGCAAGUCGAACGGGCCCGCCCCUGUUUUUGGGGGUGGGUUGAGUGGCGAACGGGUGAGUAUCACGUGAGUAACCUGCCCCCUGCUCCUGGAUAACUGCUUGAAAGGGCGGCUAAUACGGGGUGUGCCGGCUGGUCCGCAUGGGCCUGGUCGGGAUAGUUUCAUCUUCGGGUGUUUCGGUGGGGGAUGGGCUCGCGGCCUAUCAGCUUGUUGGUGGGGUGAUGGCCCACCAAGGCGGUGACGGGUAGCCGGCCUGAGAGGGUGGGCGGCCACACUGGGACUGAGACACGGCCCAGACUCCUGCGGGAGGCAGCAGUGGGGGGUAUUGCGCAAUGGGCGGAAGCCUGAUGCAGCGACGUCGCGUGAGGGAUGGAGGCCUUCGGGUUGUGAACCUCUUUCUCCGGUGGUGAAGGCCCUGUCCGUUGCGGCGGGGUUGACGGUAGCCGGGUAUGAAGCGCCGGCUAACUACGUG
rnacentral:rRNA from 1 species